rnacentral:tRNA from 1 species
UCCCAGAUAGCUCAGUUGGUAAAGAAUCCGUCUGCAAUGCAGGAGAUCUGGGUUCGAUCCCUGGGUUGGGAA